GUAAACAUAUUUAGAAUAUAUAUUGGAUGCGCCAAUUAUCCCAUAAAACCCUCAACAACGCGUGAAAAUGUGCAAAUUCUCAAUACAGUUGAAGUUCAUGUGACACUUAUCGAAGAUAAUGAACUUUCCUACCAUCAGGCUCCAAGCUUUGCUUUGCUUUUGGCAUUACCGCUCGGGUCGCCUUCUUCUCCGUAUCACCCUUUCCUGCACACAUAGGAUUCCAUUCAUUUUUCUCCGCAUCGCAAAAGUUAAAAUAUAUGCAAUUGAGUGUCAAUGGAAUGUCUGAAUAUUCUCCAUAUCUCCGAGUCAGCUGAGUGUCGUGAUUAAUAAACUCAUCUAAGCUCACUUGUCAUAAGCGGACGGAGCUAGAAUACUCAAUUGUUUUCUUUCAAAUCUGAACAACCAAACCAAGUUGUAAAGUGUCAGCUUGAAUUAAAAUUANAAGUUGCUUACGAAUUUUGACACCCUCUUGUAUCUUGAUUGAUUGAAGAUUUGUGGUGGCAGUAAUUCAUUAUAUUAUAUCAAAGAUGACUGAUCUACGGAACAUAAUGCAGAACUUUCCGUAAUUAUAACCAUAAACUACCGUACAACCUUAGCAAAAGAACAUGGUCGUACAUCAGUCAAGAGUACAUAC
rnacentral:lncRNA from 1 species